ACAUCGUCGUGUUCAUCCGGAGGGUCACAAACUAAAUGAAGUUUAAAUUGUAAAUUCCUUCUGGAACUUCUUGAGUACGUUCAAAAUGAGUUACCAGCUCAUUAUAGUUAUGCCGGGUAAAAGGAAGAAACUCGAUGUGGCGAAUUCAGAGGAGGAAUUCAGGAACACCACAGUUGAGGAGCUGAAGAGAAAAAUAGCUUCUGAAGAUAAAUAUUAUCACGGAUUCGAAUACAGGCUGAUCUACAAAGAUCAGCAACUGUACGAUCAUUAUACUCUUGGUGAUCUUGGCAUUACACAGGGAUCUACUCUUUGCUGUGCUAUUCGUCUACCUGGUUGAGGUCCUGGAGGUGAACUUGGAGGAAUUCACAGAACUGAAUCUAUGGAAAAACUAAAAUUUAGCAUGUAGCCAAAAUGCAUUAGAGUCGCACUGAAUCUGAAGAGAAAGUUUAAAGCAGACAGUAUUAUAACAUGACAUUUAAAGAGGGGAUUUUUUGUUUUUUCAUGUGAAUGAAGAUGACAUUUUUAAAAAUUACAAUUAUCUCACCUAAAUGUUUCCUCACUACAAUUACAUAAUUACAUUUUAUAGAAUUAUGUGUUGAUUUGUAUUUAUAUUGUUUGCACAAUAGUUUACACUUGAAUUUCAAUGGUUCUGAAUGCAAAUGGAUACACUUUUCUGAAUUAAACAAGUUCUUAAUUGUAAAAAGCAUUUAGAUGUUUAUUAAGAUCCAUCUAUUAUCUAUAUCCACAAUGAUAUUUAAAAUAUUAGUAAGCUUAAUAUAUAUGAAAUCAUCGUUUAGUGGCUACUUGAAAAUGAUAUUGAACUAAUUUUUGUCAUUCUCCCCAUUGUUGUUGGGAGAUAAAAGUAUCUUUUGAUUUUUUUUUUUUUAAAAAGUGAAGUUCAAAAAAUUAUUUUAUAUUUUCUUUGUAAAUUAUGAAACUUUAUAUAAAAAAUAAUUAGUGACCAUAGAAUUGUCACUAUUGAAACCAAAAUAUAUCAUCAUUGUUUCAGUAGUGACAAAAGGGAACAUAAUUCUCAUAUUUGGGGAAAACAAACAAAACUUUUGUACAGUUAUGCCUUUUAUUUUAGUAUUUUAGUAUGUUUGUUUUAAAAGUUAAAAGUCUGUAAUGUGAUGUGGUCACUACCAAAACUUUACUGUGACUACUGAAACAUGGGAUGUUUUGUCAAAAAUAAAGUACACUGAUUUA